AUAUUCACAAAUGCUAUAAUGCAGAAACAUAUCCUAAUAUACAAAAAAAAAUGCAAAAAAGAAGACCAUAUUCUAAACUAAAAAGAAACAACUAUGCACAGUAAACAAAAAUACAAUCAAGAAAACAAACCUAAACAAGACAAACCUAACACUCUAAAACUUAACUCGUUGAGUCCCCAACAAUGGCACCAUUUGUUAAACUGUCUUUUAGUCACUUAAGGCAGAACAAAGAACUGGUCCCCACUAAUGAAGUAUAGGGCAACCAGAAUAUCAAUCUUAGGACUCAGCUAAUUAAGACUAAAGUGUAGGGUUAGGUCUUGUACUUAUUUACUAUUAACUAAACUACAAGACAGGGUGGGGACACUUAAAAUGAAUGAAUGAAAUUAAAAAGAAAAGAGAAAAUCUAAAAUCUAUAAAUUUUUUAAAAGAAGAAAGAAAUUGAAGUGAACUAAAAUAAAAUACAAUAGAACUCUAAACUACCUAAAACAACAACAGAACCUAUGCAAUUAAAAUGAUCUAAAACUAAUGAAUCCAAAUAUGCAAAUUAAAGAAACCUAGUGCUAAACAUAUGAAAUCAAUUAACAAAUGAAUCUCCUAGUUGUAUGCCUAUUCUAAAAAAUGUAAAUGUAAAGACUAGAUCAUCACAGAACAGAACCGAAUGGAAGGU
rnacentral:lncRNA from 1 species